GAUGCACCAAAUCUUGAAUAAAAAAUAAAAACAAAGAAAAAAGAAAAAGAGAUAAUAUCGAUAUAUUUGAUAUGUUUGAUCUAAGCCCUCUUUGUUUUUUUUUUUGUUUUUUACAUCUCACUUAUCUGUAAAAUUUAAACACAGUAUAUAUAUACAUCCCCUACAAAGA
rnacentral:ribozyme from 1 species